AAAAUACUCCUUUCGUUCCGAAUUACUUGUCGCAGGUAUGGAUGUAUCUAGAACAUCUAGAUACAUCCAUUUCUGCGACAAAUAAUUUGGAACGGAGAGAGUAGAAU
rfam:Triticum urartu cultivar G1812 contig487081, whole genome shotgun sequence.